rnacentral:rRNA from 1 species
UACGAAGGGGGCGAGCGUUGUUCGGAAUUACUGGGCGUAAAGGGCGCGCAGGCGGCCUUAGAAGUCAGAUGUGAAAGCCCCGGGCUCAACCUGGGAAUGGCAUUUGAUACUCUGAGGCUGGAGUACGGGAGAGGAGAGUGGAAUUCCCAGUGUAGAGGUGAAAUUCGUAGAUAUCGGAAGGAACACCAGUGGCGAAAGCGGCUUCCUGGUCCAGCACCGACGUUCAGGCACGAAAGCGUGGGGAGCAAACAGG